rnacentral:rRNA from 1 species
CAGUCGCCACGGUAAUACGGAGGGAGCUAGCGUUGUUCGGAAUUACUGGGCGUAAAGCGCACGUAGGCGGCUGUGUAAGUCAGAGGUGAAAGCCCGGGGCUCAACCCCGGAAUAGCCUUUGAGACUGCAUAGCUUGAACACGGGAGAGGUGAGUGGAAUUCCGAGUGUAGAGGUGAAAUUCGUAGAUAUUCGGAAGAACACCAGUGGCGAAGGCGGCUCACUGGACCGUUGUUGACGCUGAGGUGCGAAAGCGUGGGGAGCAAACAGGAUUAGAUACCCCUGUAGUCCCUGUCUCUUAUAC